UGAAUAAGUGCAUAUCGUGGAUGCCUUGGCGAUUACAGGCGACGAAAGACGUUGUAGGCUGCGAUAAGCCUCGGGGAGCUGCCAAACAAGCUUUGAUCCGAGGAUUUCCGAAUGGGGAAACCCACCCGUAAGGGUAUCCCGUGCUGAAUACAUAGGCACGUGGAGGCGAACCCGGUGAACUGAAACAUCUAAGUAACCGGAGGAAAAAAAAAAAAAAA
rnacentral:rRNA from 1 species